rnacentral:rRNA from 1 species
GAUGAACGCUGGCGGCGUGCCUAAUACAUGCAAGUCGAGCGAACAGACGAGGAGCUUGCUCCUCUGACGUUAGCGGCGGACGGGUGAGUAACACGUGGAUAACCUACCUAUAAGACUGGGAUAACUUCGGGAAACCGGAGCUAAUACCGGAUAAUAUAUUGAACCGCAUGGUUCAAUAGUGAAAGACGGUUUUGCUGUCACUUAUAGAUGGAUCCGCGCCGCAUUAGCUAGUUGGUAAGGUAACGGCUUACCAAGGCAACGAUGCGUAGCCGACCUGAGAGGGUGAUCGGCCACACUGGAACUGAGACACGGUCCAGACUCCUACGGGAGGCAGCAGUAGGGAAUCUUCCGCAAUGGGCGAAAGCCUGACGGAGCAACGCCGCGUGAGUGAUGAAGGUCUUCGGAUCGUAAACCUCUGUUAUUAGGGAAGAACAAAUGUGUAAGUAACUAUGCACGUCUUGACGGUACCUAAUCAGAAAGCCACGGCUAACUACGU